rnacentral:rRNA from 1 species
GACGAACGCUGGCGGCGUGCUUAACACAUGCAAGUCGAGCGGUAAGGCCCUUUCGGGGGUACACGAGCGGCGAACGGGUGAGUAACACGUGGGUGACCUGCCCUCAGCUCUGGGAUAAGCCUGGGAAACUGGGUCUAAUACUGGAUAUGACUCCACGGUGCAUGUCGUGGGGUGGAAAGCCUUGUGCGGCUGAGGAUGGGCCCGCGGCCUAUCAGCUUGUUGGUGGGGUGANGGCCUACCAAGGCGACGACGGGUAGCCGGCCUGAGAGGGCGACCGGCCACACUGGGACUGAGACACGGCCCAGACUCCUACGGGAGGCAGCAGGUGGGGAAUCUUGCGCAAGUGGGCGAAAGCCUGACGCAGCGACGCCGCGUGAGGGAUGACGGCCUGG